AACGAACGCUGGCGGCAUGCCUAACACAUGCAAGUCGAACGAGACCUUCGGGUCUAGUGGCGCACGGGUGCGUAACGCGUGGGAACCUGCCCUUAGGUUCGGAAUAACUUCCCGAAAGGGGUGCUAAUACCGGAUAAUGUCUUCGGUCCAAAGAUUUAUCGCCUUUGGAUGGGCCCGCGUUGGAUUAGCUAGUUGGUAGGGUAAAAGCCUACCAAGGCGACGAUCCAUAGCUGGUCUGAGAGGAUGAUCAGCCACACUGGGACUGAGACACGGCCCAGACUCCUACGGGAGGCAGCAGUGGGGAAUAUUGGACAAUGGGCGAAAGCCUGAUCCAGCAAUGCCGCGUGAGUGAUGAAGGCCUUAGGGUUGUAAAGCUCUUUUACCCGGGAUGAUAAUGACAGUACCGGGAGAAUAAGCUCCGGCUAACUCCGUG
rnacentral:rRNA from 1 species